rnacentral:rRNA from 1 species
GAUGAACGCUGGCGGCGUGCCUAAUACAUGCAAGUCGAGCGAACGGACGAGAAGCUUGCUUCUCUGAUGUUAGCGGCGGACGGGUGAGUAACACGUGGAUAACCUACCUAUAAGACUGGGAUAACUUCGGGAAACCGGAGCUAAUACCGGAUAAUAUUUUGAACCGCAUGGUUCAAAAGUGAAAGACGGUCUUGCUGUCACUUAUAGAUGGAUCCGCGCUGCAUUAGCUAGUUGGUAAGGUAACGGCUUACCAAGGCAACGAUGCAUAGCCGACCUGAGAGGGGAAUGGGCCAACGGGAAAAUGGGCAAGGUCCCAAGCUCAGAGGGGGGGCAGGAGAAGGGAAUCUUGCGGAAUGGGCAAAAGCCUAACGAGGCAACGCCGGGUGAGUGAUGAAGAUCUUGGGAUCGUAAAACUUUUUUAUUAGGGAAAAAAAUAUGUUAAAGUAACUUUGCCCCUUUUGGCUGUACCUAAACAGAAAGCCACGGCUACCUACGG